rnacentral:rRNA from 1 species
GCAACAGCUCAAAUUUGAAAUCUGGCCUUCUGGUCCGAAUUGUAAUUUGUAGAGGAUGCUUUUGGCGCGGUGCCUUCCGAGUUCCCUGGAACGGGACGCCUUAGAGGGUGAGAGCCCCGUACGGUUGGACACCAAGCCUCUGUAAAGCUCCUUCGACGAGUCGAGUAGUUUGGGAAUGCUGCUCUAAAUGGGAGGUAAAUUUCUUCUAAAGCUAAAUACCGGCCAGAGACCGAUAGCGCACAAGUAGAGUGAUCGAAAGAUGAAAAGCACUUUGAAAAGAGGGUUAAAUAGCACGUGAAAUUGUUGAAAGGGAAGCGUUUGCGACCAGACCUUCUGUAGGCGGAACAAAUGGUGUUCUCACCGUUGCACUUCGUCUGCUGUAGGCCAGCAUCGGUUUUCGUAGGGGGAUAAAAACGGUGGGAAAGUAGCUCCCCUCGGGGAGUGUUAUAGCCCGCCGUAUAAUGCCCUUACGGGGACCGAGGACCGCGCUUCGGCAAGGAUGCUGGCAUAAUGGUCGUCAACGACCCGUCUUGAAACACGGACCAAGGAGUCGAACAUUUGUGCGAGUGUUUGGGUGUUAAACCCUCACGCGUAAUGAAAGUGAACGGAGGUGAGAGCCCUUACGGGUGCAUCAUCGACCGAUCCUGAUGUCUUCGGAUGGAUUUGAGUAGGAGCAUAACUGUUCGGACCCGAAAGAUGGUGAACUAUGCGUGGAUAGGGUGAAGCCAGAGGAAACUCUGGUGGAGGCUCGCAGCGGUUCUGACGUGCAAAUCGAUCGUCAAAUCUGCGCAUGGGGGCGAAAGACUAAUCGAACCAU